rnacentral:rRNA from 1 species
UACGAAGGGGGCUAGCGUUGCUCGGAAUCACUGGGCGUAAAGCGCACGUAGGCGGCUUUUUAAGUUUGGUGUGAAAUCUCCUGGCUCAACUGGGAGGGUGCGCCGAAUACUGAGAAGCUAGAGUGUGGGAGAGGAAAGUGGAAUUCCUGGUGUAGCGGUGAAAUGCGUAGAUAUCAGGAGGAACACCGGUGGUGUAAACGGCUUUCUGGACCAUAACUGACGCUGAGGCACGAAAGCGUGGGUAGCAACAGG